rnacentral:rRNA from 1 species
GAGUGAACGCUGGCGGUGGGCCUAACACAUGCAAGUCGAACGGCAGCACAGGAGAGCUUGCUCUCUAGGUGGCGAGUGGCGGACGGGUGAGGAAUACAUCGGAAUCUGCCCAGUCGUGGGGGAUAACGUAGGGAAACUUACGCUAAUACCGCAUACGACCUUCGGGUGAAAGAGGGGGAUCGCAAGACCUCUCGCGAUUGGAUGAGCCGAUGUCGGAUUAGCUAGUUAGCGGGGUAAUGGCCCACCAAGGCGACGAUCCGUAGCUGGUCUGAGAGGAUGAUCAGCCACACUGGAACUGAGACACGGUCCAGACUCCUACGGGAGGCAGCAGUGGGGAAUAUUGGACAAUGGGCGCAAGCCUGAUCCAGCCAUACCGCGUGGGUGAAGAAGGCCUUCGGGUUGUAAAGCCCUUUUGUUGGGAAAGAAAUCUUUCAGGCUAAUACCCUGGGAGGAUGACGGUACCCAAAGAAUAAGCACCGGCUAACUUCGUG